rnacentral:rRNA from 1 species
CAGCCGCCGCGGUAAUACAGAGGGUGCGAGCGUUAAUCGGAUUUACUGGGCGUAAAGCGUGCGUAGGCGGCUUCUUAAGUCGGAUGUGAAAUCCCUGAGCUUAACUUAGGAAUUGCAUUCGAUACUGGGAAGCUAGAGUAUGGGAGAGGAUGGUAGAAUUCCAGGUGUAGCGGUGAAAUGCGUAGAGAUCUGGAGGAAUACCGAUGGCGAAGGCAUCCAUCUGGCCUAAUACUGACGCUGAGGUACGAAAGCAUGGGGAGCAAACAGGAUUAGAUACCCCAGUAGUCCCUGUCUCUUAUAC